ACCUCGAGUCUCAGGAUGGCGCACCCCAGGAAACACCGAUCCCGGACGAGCCCCCAAAUGAAAGAUCUCUGAAGAGAGAGACCCUUAUUCAAGUCUUGGGAAAUCAAGGACCCCAGACACAGAGAGACCA
rnacentral:pre_miRNA from 14 species